GGCGACGGGUGAGUAACGCGUAAGCAAUCUGCCCCUAAGACGAGGAUAACAGUUGGAAACGACUGCUAAGACUGGAUAGGAGACAAGAAGGCAUCUUCUUGUUUUUAAAAGACCUAGCAAUAGGUAUGCUUAGGGAGGAGCUUGCGUCACAUUAGUUAGUUGGUGGGGUAAAGGCCUACCAAGACUAUGAUGUGUAGCCGGGCUGAGAGGUUGAACGGCCACAUUGGGACUGAGACACGGCCCAAACUCCUACGGGAGGCAGCAGUAGGGAAUUUUCGGCAAUGGAGGAAACUCUGACCGAGCAACGCCGCGUGAACGAUGAAGUAUUUCGGUACGUAAAGUUCUUUUAUUAGGGAAGAAUAAAUGAUGGAAAAAUCAUUCUGACGGUACCUAAUGAAUAAGCCCCGGCUAACUAUGUGCCAGCAGCCGCGGUAAUACAUAGGGGGCAAGCGUUAUCCGGAAUUAUUGGGCGUAAAGGGUGCGUAGGCGGUUAAAUAAGUUUAUGGUCUAAGUGCAAUGCUCAACAUUGUGAUGCUAUAAAAACUGUUUAGCUAGAGUAAGAUAGAGGCAAGUGGAAUUCCAUGUGUAGUGGUAAAAUGCGUAAAUAUAUGGAGGAACACCAGUAGCGAAGGCGGCUUGCUGGGUCUUUACUGACGCUGAGGCACGAAAGCGUGGGGAGCAAACAGGAUUAGAUACCCUGGUAGUCCACGCCGUAAACGAUGAGUACUAAACGUUGGGUAAAACCAGUGUUGAAGUUAACACAUUAAGUACUCCGCCUGAGUAGUACGUACGCAAGUAUGAAACUUAAAGGAAUUGACGGGACUCCGCACAAGCGGUGGAUCAUGUUGUUUAAUUCGAAGGUACCCGAAAAACCUCACCAGGUCUUGACAUGCUUCUGCAAAGCUGUAGAAACACAGUGGAGGUUAUCAGUUGCACAGGUGGUGCAUGGUUGUCGUCAGCUCGUGUCGUGAGAUGUUGGGUUAAGUCCCGCAACGAGCGCAACCCUUAUUGUUAGUUACCAGCACGUAAUGGUGGGGACUUUAGCAAGACUGCCAGUGAUAAAUUGGAGGAAGGUGGGGACGACGUCAAAUCAUCAUGCCCCUUAUGACCUGGGCUACAAACGUGAUACAAUGGCUGUUACAAAGGGUAGCUGAAGCGCAAGUUUUUGGCGAAUCUCAAAAAAACAGUCUCAGUUCGGAUUGAAGUCUGCAACUCGACUUCAUGAAGUUGGAAUCGCUAGUAAUCGCGAAUCAGCAUGUCGCGGUGAAUACGUUCUCGGGGUUUGUACACACCGCCCGUCAAACCACGAAAGUUGGCAAUACCCAAAGCCGGCGGCCUAACUCGCAAGA
rnacentral:rRNA from 1 species